CAUGUUAUUCCAUUGUUUGCUCAUAACGUGAACUUUUAUUGUACUGUCAAUUUGAAUUCGCAUCAAUCAUUCCUACGACAAUUCAGUUUAAAUAUCAACAGAAGCAAGAAUAUGGCAAAAUUAUUCAGUUUGACUUUCCUUUUUGGAAUCAUCGUUGUUCUGGCCACAAUGAAUCUUGGCUACUUUGUAUCCGCAGAUUGUUGGUGGACUGGCUGUCAAAAAAGUGAUUGGGCUGUCGUUGGAUGUAAGCAGUAUGGACGUGAAGAGAAAGAAACUUCUGAUUGUCCCGGUGGAAAGAAAUACAAGUGCUGUAACUAAUUAUUACAUGCAUUGUGAGUAUUCGGAGUUGAAUCAAUCUUAAGUUCUACUGAAUUGAUUUACUGAUGCCUAACCGUUUAGAAACCGACCAUUCCAUUGAAUAUAAAACACACAAACAAUGUUUAUCUGAAAAUUAAAUUCAUGAAGUAAUCUAAAAACUUCUUGAAUCAUGAACAAACAGAAACACUAAUAAAUAAAGAUUUGAAAGCAAAUUCA